CACUGUCAGCAGGCUAGCAAAGCACAUCUGGGGAAGGUGCCAUGUAAACUUAGCAAGUCUAUUCUUAUCCGAUACCCUGCUGUGAAAUGAUUUUCUAUUUUUGCCUCUGCUGUUCUUUCCCUUAAUGAAAGAAACCUUGAGCUCCCCAAGCUGAAGAUGAUGUUUAAGGGUGCAGAAUCCAUCAGGUGAAGCACUGUUGAUGCUGACAGGAGCAUCCUUGACCUUAUAGAUUCUAACUGGCACAAGUCUCAGUGGUGUAAUGGGAACAAUCUUCUACCUUAACAAAGACUGCUUGCUAAAUUCA